rnacentral:tRNA from 1 species
UAGAUUGGUGGGCUCUUACCCCACAACCUUUUAGUUAACAGCUAAACACUCACACAACGACGUGCAAUCUA